rnacentral:lncRNA from 1 species
GAGGAAGGAGCGCGGUGGGGAGUUGGGAGCGCGGGGCUCCCCCGGGACCCCCCGCAGCUCCGACGGGGUUUCAGUUGACUCGGACUGCACCGCAGCGAGAGUCCGUUAGGAGUCUCCGCCUGGGCGCGCAGCUGGCCGACCAUCCCGGCCCGCCUCCCCCUCGCUCCCACCAGGAAGGGCAGCCGGGCGAGAGCCAGUGACCUCUCCUCCCGCCAGCCCAGAACGAACAAUCACCAGUCCAGCGAAAAUCAGAGCACAUUACAGAAAGAAAGAAGAAAAGAAGCUGGGCAGAGAAAAGAUUCCCUACAACAGAGAGUCACCUAGACAUGAAAGAAAUUCUGCUUCUACAACAAUUGACAAAAAGUAGACAGAUUCAUGUUUGACCACACUGGAUACUGGAUCAAGAUGCUGGAGAUAGACCUGAGAUUAAAGAACAAAGAAAUCUUAUCCACUAAACAGUAUUGAUUAGAACCAAAAUAUUUUGUCAUUGGAGGCCUUAUGUUACCCUUAAAAAUAAACUUUCGGAUAUUUUG